CCUGUACCCGGAGCUGGAGUGGGACUUCCGGCUGCCGCUGGUGAAGAGCAUCAACGUGAGCGGGCACAAAUACGGCCUCGUCUACGCCGGGAUCGGGUGGUGCAUCUGGAGGAGCAAGGAGGACCUGCCGGACGAACUCAUCUUCCACAUCAACUACCUCGGCGCCGACCAGCCCACCUUCACCCUCAACUUCUCCAAAGGUUCAAGCCAGGUUAUCGCGCAGUAUUACCAGCUGAUCCGCCUUGGUUUCGAGGUACUACUCAUCGAUUUUGUCUGAAUAUUUUGUCACUUAUAACAGUAACAACAUCAGUCUUUGCUAAAUUUCAGUCGACUGAGAUUUGAUUAUGUCUUAGUCUAUUCUAUAUUCGUGAGAUCUUACAUUGAAAUUCGUGCAAAUUUUUUUUCUCAUUUUUCUUUCUUUGUUACAUGUUAUGUCACUUGAUUGAGACUUGAUUAAGUCUCCGUCGACUGAUAUCUGGACACACCCUAACAACAUUGUUGUGCUAACUGUAUCUGGUGCGAUAAUGCAGGGGUACAGAAACAUCAUGGACAACUGCCAGGAGAACGCGAUGGUGCUCAAGGAGGGGCUGGAGCGCACGGGCCGGUUCAACAUCGUGUCCAAGGACCAGGGCGUCCCCCUGGUGGCCUUCUCCCUCAAGGACAGCAGCCGGCACGACGAGUUCGAGAUCUCCGAGUUCCUGCGCCGCUUCGGCUGGAUCGUGCCCGCCUACACCAUGCCCCCCGACGCGCAGCACGUCACCGUGCUCCGCGUCGUCAUCCGCGAGGACUUCAGCCGCACCUUCGCCGAGCGCCUCGUCAUCGACAUCGAGAAGGUGCUCCACGAGCUCGACGCGCUCCCCUCGCGCAGCAGCGGGCCCGCCCUGCAGCACCCCAACGGCGACACGGUGAGCGAGAAGGACCUCGCCAGGCAGCGCGAGGUGGUGUCCGUCUGGAAGAGGGCCGUCGCCGCCAGGAAGAAGACCCAGGGCGUCUGCUGAGCGGCGGCCAUGCACCUCUCACCUGCUGCUGGCGUUUGAUGAUGCUAUAGCUGCUGCUCGAUCUUUAUGGUUGUAUUUCCUAAUUUAAGCUGAUACUACUUCUCUUGUCCAUGAUGAUUUUUUAGAGGACGGAACUAAUAGUUCUGGCUCCAUUGGAUCGAUCUGAGUAAUAUUUAUGUCAUGUAUGUGUUGAACUGCAGUGCUGUAUUUGCAUAUUUGUACGCGAAAGUGGAGUACCUAGCAGCACUCAUGUGUUUAUUUGGGUGCCUGAUAUUCAAUCAAAAUCGUUCUCGUAGCUCUGAACCAUGAUGCUUUCUUUAGGGGUACUUGAACCUUGAUGUUGGUUGAAUGCCAUGAUAUGAUGGAGUAGUUAACCUUCGUAGAAACGGUACGGUUGCAGUAACGGCGACAUGUACCAGUACGCGGGUACGAGGCUACGAACUCAGGGUGGACUUUUGGUACAAACCAAAAUAUUGGUUGCUACCUUGCAUUUACCGAUUCUGCUCAGAAUAUGGCAAUGGCACCCUAAGAGGAAGCUCCUAUAGGAUGCUUCCUGCGUAUUUUGAGCAUUUCCUGAAAACACAAACAUUUUUGAAACUUUUCAAUGUUUUUUUAAAUGAGAGCAAUAUUUUAAACUCUGAUCAUUUUUAAAAAAACAAAGAAUAUUUAUAAGUCUAAACAUUUUUCGAAAUUUCUAGGAAUUUUUUAAAUUUCUGAACAUUUUUUUAUAAUUCCAAGCAAUAUUUGAAAUAUGAACAAUUAUUUUAAAAACAAGAAACAAAAGAACCAAAAACACAGGAAAAAAUCAUGAAGAAAAUAACAAAACAACAAAGAGAAAAAAUAAUCGAAAGCAGAACCUUCUACAAGGUUCAUCAAACCGGGAAAAGCUAGGAAGGAAAGAUUCCAAAAACCGGAAUUUCUGUAGCAUCUAUAUUAGCUAAUUGGCUGAACCAUCUCGGGUUAUUGGACAACAAUUCGCGGUAGUGUGGCACCUUUCGGCUUUUUGGCUGAAAUAUUGUUUCACAGCUGUCAGAAAGAACAUCUCCAUGCUUGAAAAAGUGCAAAUGCUGACCGAGCUUCAUCGAGAGGGAUCCUAUUCCACGCGCGGGUCGAAUAAUAGCAUUCAAACGCGCACCAUCGCAGCGGUGAUGGUCCGGUUAAUCCGUCUAUUUCUGUGUUAUUUGCUUUAUUUUUCCCACAUAUUUUGGGUAGGUUUUUCCCGCAAUAAACCAUUUUUUCAUUAUUUUUUCUUCCUUUUUUGUUUCUCAUUUUCAUUUCUUAUUUGUUUAUAUUUUACUCUAAAUUUUGUGAUUUUCUUGAAUUCGCGAUGUUUACCAAAUUUGUGCAAACUUUUGAAAUGCAAGACUUUUCUAAUGUGAAGAUCAUUUUUUGACAUAUGAAAACAUUUCGUGAAUUUAGAAAAAAAAUUCCAAAUUCAUGAACUCUUUUUGAAAUCCAGAACAUUUUGUGCAUUCGGAACAUUUUUUGAAAACCAGGAACAUGUUUAGAUUUUUUUUAAAAUUCGGGAUCAUUUUUUAAAUUCCUGAACAGUUUUUCAAUUUAAGGAAAAUUUGAAAUGUAGGAACUUUUUCAAAUCUGUGAUCAAAUUGACAACAUUUUCCCAAAAUAAUGAACAGCUUUUGAAAUCCAGGAACAUUUUGAAACUUUGCAAACAUUUUUUGAAAUUUAUAAGAAAAAAAAAAAUAAUUCCUGGAUCAUUUUUUGAAUUUCGGUAACGUUUUCUUCGAAUUUGACAACAUUUUAGGAAAUACGUGAUUUUUUUUCAAUUUCACAAAGCUUUGUUAAAUUCAUGAAUAAUAUUUGUAUUUGAAAACAUGUUAUUAAAUUCUUUAGCAUAUUUUUAGUUUUUUAAAGAAAAAUAAAAAAGGGGAAAAAGAUACAAAAUAAAAAAGGAAAGGAAAAUGGAAAAGAAACAAGCGGCGUGUCCCUGCUUUGGGCUGGCCCAAACCGUGCAAGGGGGUGUUUCUGCGUCGUGCAGCUCCCUCGACCCAAAAAGAAUAGGAGCUUCUCUAAAGAAAAGCGCCCAAAAUAGGAGAACUGCUUCACGAAGCCUUUAUUUUUUCAGAAAAAACGGGAGUAGCACCUAUAUUAGCUACUUGGCUGACCCAUCUGGGGUUCUUGGACAACAAUUUGCCGAGGAUAGGAGAGCCAAGGUCACGGUAGUACGCCACCUUUUAGCUUUUGGGAUGAAAUGUUGUUUCACAACUGCCGCUGAUGAAGAGCAUCAAUGUCAGCGGGCACAAGUACGGCCUGUCUACGCCGGGAUCGGGUGGUGCAUCUGGAGGAGCAAGGAGGACCUGCCGGACGAGCUCAUCUUCCACAUCAUCUACCUCGGCGCCGACCCCCACCUUCACCCUCAACUUCUCCAAAGGUUCAAGCCAGGUUAUCGCGCAGUAUUACCAGCUGAUCCGCCUUGGUUUCGAGGUACA
rnacentral:lncRNA from 1 species